UCUUCCUUGGUCUAGUGGUCAUGAUUUCCGCUUGUCAUCAUGUGAUAAAGCGCGGGAGACCGGGGUUCGAUUCCCCGAGGGAGAG